rnacentral:rRNA from 1 species
CCUACGGUGGGCAGCAGUGAGGAAUAUUGGUCAAUGGGCGGAAGCCUGAACCAGCCAAGUAGCGUGAAGGAUGACUGCCCUACGGGUUGUAAACUUCUUUUAUACGGGAAUAACGCGCCUUACGUGUAGGGCUUUGCAUGUACCGUAUGAAUAAGGACCGGCUAAUUCCGUGCCAGCAGCCGCGGUAAUACGGAAGGUCCGGGCGUUAUCCGGAUUUAUUGGGUUUAAAGGGAGCGUAGGCCGCAUGUCAAGCGUGCUGUGAAAUGUUCGGGCGCAACCCGGGAAUUGCAGUGCGAACUGGCAUGCGUGAGUCCGCGAAAGGUAGGCGGAAUUCGUGGUGUAGCGGUGAAAUGCUUAGAUAUGACGAAGAACCCCGAUUGCGAAGGCAGCUUGCUGCAGCGGAACUGACGCUGAUGCUCGAAAGCGCGGGUAUCGAACAGGAUUAGAUACCCUGGUAGUC